CAGCCGCCGCGGGAAUACAGAGGGUGCAAGCGUUAAUCGGAAUUACUGGGCGUAAAGCGCGCGUAGGUGGUUUGUUAAGUUGGAUGUGAAAGCCCCGGGCUCAACCUGGGAACUGCAUCCAAAACUGGCAAGCUAGAGUACGGUAGAGGGUGGUGGAAUUUCCUGUGUAGCAGUGAAAUGCGUAGAUAUAGGAAGGAACACCAGUGGCGAAGGCGACCACCUGGACUGAUACUGACACUGAGGUGCGAAAGCGUGGGGAGCAAACAGGAUUAGAGACCCCUGUAGUCCCUGUCUCUUAUAC
rnacentral:rRNA from 1 species